rnacentral:rRNA from 1 species
UUUUUGGAGAGUUUGAUCCUGGCUCAGGAUGAACGCUGGCGGCGUGCCUAAUACAUGCAAGUCGAGCGGUAAGGUCCCUCCAGAUUGCUUAAGCGGUUAGACGGGUCGCGAUUACGAAGUAAUCGCAUCGUCAACGAAGUGAUGAACUUCAACCGACCACCUACUAUCUAAAGUAGUAGCGGGUAGCUUAAGGAAUGUGGUGGGAUACACGAGCGGCGGACGGCUGAGUAACACGUAGGAACGUACCCCAAACUGAGGGAUAAGCACCAGAAAUGGUGUCUAAUACCGCAUGUGCUCUUCGGAGUAAAGCU